rnacentral:rRNA from 1 species
UACGUAGGUGGCAAGCGUUGUCCGGAAUUAUUGGGCGUAAAGCGCGCGCAGGCGGUCCUUUAAGUCUGAUGUGAAAGCCCAUGGCUCAACCGUGGAGGGUCAUUGGAAACUGGGGGACUUGAGUGCAGAAGAGGAAAGCGGAAUUCCACGUGUAGCGGUGAAAUGCGUAGAGAUGUGGAGGAACACCAGUGGCGAAGGCGGCUUUCUGGUCUGUAACUGACGCUGAGGCGCGAAAAGCGUGGGGGAGCAAACAGG